AUCUGUGUGUAUGAGUGGUUUUGAGUGCAUUCUUCUACAUGCUCGGGUACACAUUGUUGAAGUCAAGACAACCUCAGGUGCUCGUCCCUGCCUUCUACGCUGUUUAAACAGGGUCUCUUGUUCAUGUUCCAGAGAGCUGGGCUAGCUGGCCUUCAAGCUCUUAGGAUCCUGGUUUUCGAGCCCUACCUUGCUGUAGAAGUACUGGGACUACAUUGCUACCGUGUCUACCUUUUUUUGGUUUGGGGAGAAAGGCUCAGGCUGUCCUGGAACUCAUGACAAAUCUCCUGCUUCAGCCUCCUAAAUUCAGGAAUUUUAGUAAAUUUACCAUUCUUAGAAAAGUAUUCUCAUAAAGAAUGCAGUUCAGCUGGGCAUGGUAGCACUUAGCAAAUCCCACUAUUUAAAUAGAGGCUGAGGUAGGAAGAUCAUGAUUUGAAGGCCAGCCUAAGUUAUGUAGACCAUGUCUCAAAAGCCAAAAACGUAACAAAAAGUGCAUCUGAUUUUGUGGUUUGCAGAGGGUUGGAUGUUUUAGCUAAGAAUUGUUUAGUAGAGGACUAGGAUUUCCCUAGUGGGCACUGUAUGUAUUUGUGGGAAAUUACACAUUUUAUGUUUUGCCAGAGUGGCCUAGUAAGGUACAGUUAUAGAAAUCCAAAACUAGAGAAAAUGGUAAUUAAACUCUGUACACUACCUUUUCUGGGUAUGUGUCUUAGUGAUUUCUGUUUUCUGGAUAUUUUGUUCUGACUAAAUAAAGGUAAAUGAGAUGAACCUUUGGACAUAGCAUCCCGAAUGCCUUCUGCAUGAGUUUUGAUAUUUUUAUGUCUGGUUGAACUUUAUUUUUCAGAAUCUGAAUGGUGACAAAAAAGACAAUUAAAGAUCAUGAUGCCUUAAUUUGGAGUAUUACUAGGGGUUCUCUAGAGUCACAGAACUAUGGAAUGACUCAGUAGUUGAUCAGUCCUGCGAGGCUGGAUGGCUCAUCUGGUAUCUAUAUAUACUGGAAUCCCAAAUAAGUAGGCUUUGAUGCCAGUGAAAGAAUGGACGUGUUAGCAAGGUGAAGGACAAGCAGGCUAGGAGCAAACGCUUCCUUCUGUGUUCUUGUCUAGACUUCCAGCAGAAGCUAUGGUCCAUUUUAAAGGUGUUUUUCUGCCUUCAAGUUUGGAAUAAAAGUAUGUGUCUUCCCACC
rnacentral:lncRNA from 1 species